rnacentral:sRNA from 1 species
CCACAUUUUCUAGCUUUAGGUUGACAUUGCCAUUUGCAAUUACAAGAAAAGUAACUCCACAUCGGCACAUACAUUUCAAACACAAGUACACAGUUCACUGCUUCAAUUCAUCUGAAGAAUGAGUAUGGCAGGCAUUAUCGCUCUGGAAAUGAAAUUGGAGUAAUGAAAAUGGAUAAAGAAAAACUUCACUACAUUUCUAGAUCGGUUUUUUCCCAAAAUUCCAAUUACAAGGCUGAAUCAUACAUAAUCAAUAUUAAAAUUAAAAACAAAAACCUAUAUGUACGCAUUUUUGUGUGUGUAUACACAUAUAAUAUACACUUCCUGUGUUCUCUAUACAAAUACAUCCUCUACUGAUAUAAAUACCACGGAGUGAGCAACAGAACCCACUAAACAUUAGGUCCAAAUUCAAUUAUAUAUACACAAAUACAGGGUGUAUUCAUAUACGCAUGUAAGAGGAAGACAAACAAAAAAACUCACUGAUUAUGCGGUCAUUAAAAACCCAUUAACUAUAAGGUCCUGAUUACAUCAAAAUCCAUUACUCCGCCACAAAUCUCCCAUCUUUU